GCACGGCGUUGGUUGUCCGUGUUUAAGGUCGUAGGCUGGUGUCUUAGGUAAAUCCGGGAUGCUAAGGCUGAGAACUGAUGACGAGUGUUCCUCGGAACAUGAAGUGCUUGAUGCCAUGCUUCCAAGAAAAGCCUCUAAGCUUCAGGUAAAAAGAGACCGUACUCCAAACCGACACAGGUGAUCAGGUAGAGAAUACCAAGGCGCUUGAGAGAACUCGGGUGAAGGAACUAGGCAAAAUGGCACCGUAACUUCGGGAGAAGGUGCACUGCUGAUGGUGAAGGGCUUGCCCCGUAAGCUAUUGGCAGUCGAAGAUACCAGGCCCCUGCAACUGUUUAUUAAAAACACAGCACUCUGCAAACACGUAAGUGGACGUAUAGGGUGUGACGCCUGCCCGGUGCCGGAAGGUUAAUUGAUGGGGUUAGCGCAAGCGAAGCUCUUGAUCGAAGCCCCGGUAAACGGCGGCCGUAACUAUAACGGUCCUAAGGUAGCGAAAUUCCUUGUCGGGUAAGUUCCGACCUGCACGAAUGGCGUAAUGAUGGGGGCGCUGUCUCCACCCGAGACUCAGUGAAAUUGAAAUCGCGGUUAAGAUGCCGUGUACCCGCGGCUAGACGGAAAGACCCCGUGAACCUUUACUAUAGCUUUGCACUGAACUUUGAACCUAUCUGUGUAGGAUAGGUGGGAGGCUUUGAAGUCGAGACGCUAGUUUCGAUGGAGCCGUCCUUGAAAUACCACCCUGGUAUGUUUGAGGUUCUAACGUCGGCCCCUUAUCGGGGUUACGGACAGUGUAUGGUGGGUAGUUUGACUGGGGCGGUCUCCUCCCAAAGAGUAACGGAGGAGCACGAAGGUGUGCUAAUCAUGGUCGGAAAUCAUGAGGUUAGUGUAAAGGCAAAAGCACGCUUGACUGCGAGACAGACAUGUCGAGCAGGUACGAAAGUAGGUCUUAGUGAUCCGGUGGUUCUGUAUGGAAGGGCCAUCGCUCAACGGAUAAAAGGUACUCCGGGGAUAACAGGCUGAUACCGCCCAAGAGUUCACAUCGACGGCGGUGUUUGGCACCUCGAUGUCGGCUCAUCACAUCCUGGGGCUGAAGCCGGUCCCAAGGGUAUGGCUGUUCGCCAUUUAAAGUGGUACGCGAGCUGGGUUUAGAACGUCGUGAGACAGUUCGGUCCCUAUCUGCCGUGGGCGUUGGAGAUUUGAGAAGAGUUGUUCCUAGUACGAGAGGACCGGAAUGAACGAACCUCUGGUGUUCGGGUUGUCAUGCCAAUGGCACUGCCCGGUAGCUAUGUUCGGACGGGAUAACCGCUGAAAGCAUCUAAGCGGGAAGCCUCCUUCAAGAUGAGAUCUCCCUGGGACUUUAAGUCCCCUAAAGAGCCGUUGAAGACUACGACGUUGAUAGGUUGGGUGUGGAAGCGCAGCGAUGCGUUGAGCUAACCAAUACUAAUUGCUCGUGCGGCUUGACCAU
rnacentral:rRNA from 1 species